rnacentral:rRNA from 1 species
GAUGAGCGCUGGCGGCGUGCCUAAUACAUGCAAGUCGAGCGAACAGACGAGGAGCUUGCUCCUCUGACGUUAGCGGCGGACGGGUGGGUAACACGUGGAUAACCUACCUAUAAGACUGGGAUAACUUCGGGAAACCGGAGCUAAUACCGGAUAAUAUAUUGAACCGCAUGGUUCAAUAGUGAAAGACGGUUUUGCUGUCACUUAUAGAUGGAUCCGCGCCGCAUUAGCUAGUUGGUAAGGUAACGGCUUACCAAGGCAACGAUGCGUAGCCGACCUGAGAGGGUGAUCGGCCACACUGGAACUGAGACACGGUCCAGACUCCUACGGGAGGCAGCAGUAGGGAAUCUUCCGCAAUGGGCGAAAGCCUGACGGAGCAACGCCGCGUGAGUGAUGAAGGUCUUCGGAUCGUAAAACUCUGUUAUUAGGGAAGAACAAAUGUGUAAGUAACUAUGCACGUCUUGACGGUACCUAAUCAGAAAGCCACGGCUAACUACGUG